rnacentral:rRNA from 2 species
GUUGACCUCGGAUCAGGUAGGGAUACCCGCUGAACUUAAGCAUAUCAAUAAGCGGAGGAAAAGAAACCAACAGGGAUUGCUCUAGUAACGGCGAGU